UAGAGUUUGAUCAUGGCUCAGAGCGAACGCUGGCGGCAGGCCUAACACAUGCAAGUCGAACGAACUCUUCGGAGUUAGUGGCGGACGGGUGAGUAACACGUGGGAACAUGCCUUUAGGUUCGGAAUAACUCAGGGAAACUUGUGCUAAUACCGAAUGUGCCCUUCGGGGGAAAGAUUUAUCGCCUUUAGAGCGGCCCGCGUCUGGUUAGCUAGUUGGUAGUGUAAUGGACUACCAAGGCGACGAUCAGUAGCUGGUCUGAGAGGAUGAUCAGCCACAUUGGGACUGAGACACGGCCCAAACUCCUACGGGAGGCAGCAGUGGGGAAUAUUGGACAAUGGGCGCAAGCCUGAUCCAGCCAUACCGCGUGGGUGAAGAAGGCCUUCGGGUUGUAAAGCCCUUUUGUUGGGAAAGAAAAGCAGCCGGUUAAUACCCGGUUGUUCUGACGGUACCCAAAGAAUAAGCACCGGCUAACUUCGUGCCAGCAGCCGCGGUAAU
rnacentral:rRNA from 1 species